rnacentral:ncRNA from 1 species
ACCGCGGAACCCGAAAAGCGGAAAAAGAGAGUAGGGA